rnacentral:lncRNA from 1 species
GGUAAGCCCAAGCUUCACAUUCUUCCUUACCUGGAAUCUUCAGAUGGUCAGACUGCAUCAAUACCCUGUAAUCCCUGGUCUAUAAAUAAAGGCUUAUAGGAUUUUCCAUAUCUUAAUUCUUAAAUUUUUUCCAUUCUUCCUUAUGCAAGUGCCUUUGAUCCCUAUUAUCCUGAAUCCAGACAGUGUUGUUGCCUAUAAUUCUGAUAAUUUGUCCAUGCAUGAACACUAUGUUUUGAAAACAAUUUCAGAUGAGUCCAAAACAAUUUCAGAUGAGUCCAAGACAGUUGGGAUAUAUAUAUAUAUAUAUAUAUAUAUAUAUAUAUAUUUUCCCUUGAGUCCGCUGGUUGCUCUGCAUUAUUACUCGAUUGUCAAGUUCCAUUGGGGUCUAUGGCUUUACUGUUUGUGCUUAAAUAGUUUCCCUAUCAUGUCUGAUAUUCUUAUCAGACAAGUUUUCACAUCCUGAACUUUCUAUCCUGAUUCCCACAAGCAACCUCCCAUUACUGAACAUUUCCCAGGGUAAGCCCUUCAUUUUCAAGUCAUUUUCGAUGUAAUUGACUAUUGACAGGUAUAUACAUGGUUUAUAUACCUUGGGCUUGAGAUUGCAGCU